UGUCUUCCUAUUUCUCUUUCUGGUUAUUAUCGAUCACCUAACGAGAACGGUAUAAAAGAUGGUAUUACGAGUAAGUUAGAGAGAAGAACGAUGUUUCAAAAGGAAAUGUCUUGCUAUUGAUAUCUGCACGAUCAUUUAUGGUAUUCCCUACAAGCACUAGAGAAAUUUUGAAAGACGUUGAGAAUUUUAGACAAUACAAUAUCUCCGAUCUAUCUGUAAUUCAAUGUGUGCUCUGCAUGCAUGAGAUAUAUGGAUAUGUAUUUUUUCCCCAUUUUUUAAAAUUGUGCCUAUAAUGUGAAGUUUCCUGUCACUGUCGAUGAACUGUAAUGAACAAUUGAAAAUUUCAAAGGACGACUAGAUACUUCUCAUUCUGAUCACUUCGCCGAUUAUACAAUUUUUUAUUAUGGAAAAAAGAAAUCGAAAAAAAUAUUGUUUGCAUAAAUAACAUCUUUGGCAUACGUAUGACAGAUGGAAAUAAAAAAGUUUGGGAAAUAACGCUUACAAGAUAUUUUUGUUAGGAGAAAAUUGCAACGAUAAAAUUAAUUCCUUUUCAUUUAAUAUUAACGCUUGAUACGCCGCCAUGAAUUAAUCGAAGCAGAAGCGUUUAUCACAAUAUAAAGUCCUGAAAUGUGGACCAUUAGAUAUGGGAGUCAAUAGGAAAUGGCAACAGUCACGCGAAUUGAAAGAGAUUGGCCCACAAACCUGUUUCCCCCUACUCUCAUCUCUUACGGAACAUUCGAUCGCGGAAUAAGAAGUUUUGAUUGACUGGCGUAAAACGUAUACAAAUCAAUAAUGCGAAAAGGAAAAUAUGUAUAACGAAUAAUUUUCUGUAAAUCUAUAUUCUUUUUCACUAUAUAAUAAAGAAAGAGAGAAGCUUGUAAACUUAAAUAAUACGAAGAAAACAGAAGAAUACGUGGUAUUGAUUAACUGCAUAGAAUAUAAUAACUCCUUCCACCGAGCCACGCCUCAGAAAUUAACUAGUCACCCGAUAUGGCGAUAUUCGGAAGAAAUUCUCCUGCAGAAGUCAUCCUUUCAAUAAUUUUUGAAGGAGUAAUACGCAAAGGUAUACGAGACUAACCGAAGGCAAAAGCAAUUCCAAUUUCUGGGAAGUAUUGCAGAGGAUCCGUAUUAAACGAUAUCUGGAUUCUAAUUACGUCCAAAGAAGAUAUAUGGAUUUCAACUAAGCCCAAUGUGAUCAUUAAACAUUUGACAUCCAAAAUGAUACACUCUUCAAUUGGUACUUCCUGUUCUUCCUCACAUCCGACGAUUCGUUCUACUUGGCUAGUAGAAAUGUCCGAAAGUCAACGAGCGUAGGAAAUGGAAACGUUUACCUCUUCAGACUUAUAUUUAAAUGAUAUUUUAUCAUGGCGACUAGAAUAUUUCUAUAGUGGAACAUUAUUCGAGCAUAUUGAAGCAGAAGAGUGUUUCAAGAGGCAGUUGAAAAUUCUAACAAAGGAAGGAACAUCGUUAGCUAUUGUUCAUGUAUGCAUUAUGUGAUUGUGAAUACCUUGGAAGAGGAAAAAGAAGAAAAUACAUACUUGCUUGACGACGAAGUUUCGAAAGAUCAAUAUGGCGCUGUUUUAUAAAGCUUGGAAGCCUGGUACGGGGAAAUGGGAAGGAUCUUUCUUCUUCAAAGCAUCUAACCGUGAGCUGCUUCAGUUGGAGGGUAUAAGCGAUUGUGCUCAAAAAGAUUUGUCGAUGAGCCGUCCGACGUUCCACGUGGGGCAAGGAUCACAGGGGAAUUAAAAUGAAACUGAGGGACGUUUAUCAUACAAAAUAAUUGAACAGACAGGGACGAUCAAAAGAUUCAUCUUUUUUCAAAGUAAUCCCAUUAGCAGGGGAAUACUUUUAAAUUAAACGUGAAAUAGAAAGUCCACGUCACGUCAUUGUUAUUCCAUCGAUUUAAAUUAAGUAACCAUUCGAAAUAAUUAAAUGGGAGAAGUAUUGAAUUCUAUAUUUCAAACUGUUUGCCGUAACAUUCGCAACAUAUACAUAAAAAAUAUUCGUAAUAUUUAAUUAGCGUUUUUCUUAAAUAUUGAAAUUUGGACGAAAUAAUUUGGUGCGUUGCGCUAAUUACCCAUUUAGUAUGUUAUGAAAGGAAUUUCGUUAUAGUGGAUGUCCGUAAUACGUUCUCCCAUAUUUAUCGUCAAGUACCUUCGUUUAAACCUUUCUCCAUUAUCUCUCUGCAUGUACGUGUGCUCCGGUGCGCGUCUAUCCGCGUAAGAUCGAGUGGCUGGCAUUGAGUGUGCGUGUGUACGUAGAACUCCUGUCUUAUUUUGACAAUAAGGAGAGUAUUUUUUCAUUUAUUUUCCUGUCAUCAGACCAAGCGAACAAUAGGAGAUUGGCUGUAUUAUUCAGUUGCCUAUUUAGCUUCAUUGUUUGAUAGCACGCUUGCUUAUUUUGCAGAGCAAUAGCCUAUAUUCUUAGGAACCAAUUGAUUUGGAACAUGAUAUACGAAAUAUUAGAUAAUUAGAAGUAUAAUGGGAUUAUUGUUUUGCAUUCUCCAAUAGGGAGUAACUUUCUAGAACAAUUUACCCGUUCAUACGGAAGAUUCAUACCAGCCGUGGUAUAUCGAUCCGCAAAAGACAAAUGAAAUCAUACAGCUAAAUAGAUAAUUGAAUUAUACCGCUAAUCGUGUUAUCGCAUUGUCUGCUUGGUUUGAUGAGGGGAGAACUAAUGAAAAAAUACUAUCCUUGUUUUCAAAAUAAGAGACGAGAUGUACGCAACAGGCACACUCAUUACCGUCCACUUGACUGGAGCACGUAAACGCGCAUGUGCACGGAGAGAGGUAGUAAUAAAUCGUUCAAUAUGAUGGUGCUGGACGAAAGGUAGGAGAGAAGGUAAUCCUCAACGAGCAAAUCGUUAAAUGCCGAUCGAUACCCGUUAACAAGGAAAUUUGUAGACAAGGAGGAUCAGAUAGUUUUGCAAAAAAAAUCACCAUUUUGCCCAUUAUAAUUUUCUAUGAUGUCUGCGAUAAAUGUUGAAUCAAUUCUUUUCCAACAUUAUCAUCCCUAGCAUUAGGUGUGAGGUCUUUCCGUUUUAUUAUUACAUGACAUCAGUAUUACUGCUGUCGUUUUAUAUUUUUUAUAUUUUUUUCCCGAUUAAUAUAUUUUUUUUUCUAACAUGUCUGUAUUAAUAUUUGUCUUGAAUCCAAAGUUCUCCUGCGAUAUUACUUAUGACACGAAACUAACUCGUGUUUGGAAAUUUUGCCAUUCUCUUAAUGAAAAAGAAAUGAGUAAUUAAAAGCGUUGGUAGUCUCAAAAUGUAUAUUACGAUAUCACGAAACGAUAUGUACCAAAAGAGUAUUACGUCUCUGAUUUUCUGGCUUAUUUGUCUAGGGAGCAAUCUGUUUCACUAGAAGUUUCGAUACGAAACGAGUACAGCUUCGCAAAUCUCUCCUGUGUUUCAUGAUUGCUUGUUCACUCCAUCAAAUAUCGCUGCAUCGUACGAGGCGUACUCGCGUACCAUUGCAGACAAGUCCUUAUUACUCUCUUUAAGUGGUUUAGAAAAGCUCUCAGACUGUUGUGAACGAAGCUCUUCUUCGUAAAAUCGACUGAUAUACUUUUUAUAUAACUUGUUUAUUUGACCAUUUCUUUAUUGACUAACUCAGUGGUUCUCUCGGUGGGGAAACACGGGAAAGAGGGGAAGGUAAUAUUAGGAAACCAUAAAUGUAACGAGACAUAGAGUAUAAUAUUUACAUAAAGAUACAAAUAUAAUUACGUAACUAUAGGAGAGGGGAAAUAUUUAUCCCCAUGCGUUCUAGUUAGAGAAUUAGAAUCUAGGAAGCUUGGUCUUCUAUCGUUAUGACGUGACCAAUUUAACUAGGGUAAGUCAUUCCUUCCGUGAUUUUCGACCCAGUAAUACGCAAGUGUGUCUCAUACGAUAAAUAAUCCCUAGCUAUCAUACGUGCCAAACAACAGCUUUACAAAUAAUAGAAACGAUUGAAACAUCUUUAUCACUAAUCAUUCUAUUAUUCCAUUAAUAUUCUUUAAAUUUAGCACUAUAUUUGUAUAAGAUUUAUUAGAAAAUACCAUUUCCAUAUUAUAGAAGUUACCGGAUAAUUACUCCAAUUUGGGAUUCAUACCAUUUAGAAUAUUUGAGAUAAAUUCACUUAUAAAUAAUAAUACUUUCUUCGGCUGCAUAUAAUCUACGAAAAUAUUCAAUAAAUUAUUAUAAAAUAAAUAGA